CCUACGGGAGGCAGCAGUAAGGAAUAUUGGACAAUGGAGGCAACUCUGAUCCAGCCAUGCCGCGUGCAGGAAGAAGGCGCUACGCGUUGUAAACUGCUUUUGUACCAGAGAAAAUCAUUGUACGUGUACGAUGUUGAUAGUACGGUAAGAAUAAGCAUCGGCUAACUUCGUGCCAGCAGCCGCGGUAAUACGAAGGAUGCAAGCGUUAUCCGGAUUUAUUGGGUUUAAAGGGAGCGUAGGCGGUCUUAUAAGUCAGUGGUGAAAUCUCGUUGCUUAACAACGAACGUGCCAUUGAUACUGUAGGACUUGAGUACAGUUGCCGUUGGCGGAAUGUGUCAUGUAGCGGUGAAAUGCAUAGAUAUGACACAGAACACCGAUUGCGAAGGCAGCUGACGAAACUGUAACUGACGCUGAGGCUCGAAAGCGUGGGGAUCAAACAGGAUUAGAUACCCUGGUAGUCCACGCCCUAAACUAUGAUUACUCGCUGUCGGCGAUAUACUGUCGGUAGCUAAGCGAAAGCGUUAAGUAAUCACCUGGGGAGUAGCCCGCAAGGUGAAACGUCAAANAGAGUAGAGACGNGGAGAGNGACGACGGACGACACGAGGGAGGAG
rnacentral:rRNA from 1 species